UACGUAGGGGGCAAGCGUUGUCCGGAAUCAUUGGGCGUAAAGCGCGUGUAGGCGGCUCGGUAAGUCCGCUGUGAAAGUCCAGGGCUCAACCCUGGAAUGCCGGUGGAAACUGUCGGGCUAGAGUCCGGAAGAGGCGAGUGGAAUUCCUGGUGUAGCGGUGAAAUGCGCAGAUAUCAGGAGGAACACCAAUUGCGAAGGCAGCUCGCUGG
rnacentral:rRNA from 1 species